rnacentral:misc_RNA from 1 species
UGUCAAUUUUACCCCACAAAGCAAAAUGGGCAAGAUGUUAAUGGCUAAAUGUAGGACACUGCAGGAGGAAAAUGAAGAGAUUGGAAACCAGGCUAAUGAAGGAAAGAUACAUGAAUUAACAAUGAAACUGGCUUUGCAGAGGUCUCAGAAUGCUGAACUCAAAAGUCAUUUUGAAGGCCUGUGCAAACAGAUAGAGGGACUGACAAACGAUGUAGAAAGAUCAAAUGAAAUGGUACUAAUCUUGCAAGAUAGAGUUGCGGAGAAGGAUGAAGAGAUCAGUAAGCUGAACGAAGAGUUGAAUGAGAAAAACACUAUUGUGGAGAAAACCGAAUUAACUCCUGAUGAAACUACCAAUGAUGAGGAAAUGACAACUACAGAAGCUCAGGCAGAGAAUGAGUAGAGGGAGGCUUCUGGAGUUGGUCAGCACGUUCGAGGCCUUACCUUCAUACAUGAAGCUGCUCUUUAUCCUUAUAUGGUACAACAGUAAAGCAAGCAGAAGAUAAGCCUGCGGACCUGGAAGCAAGAGCUAUCAGUUCGUAAAGCAACAAGCACGGCCAUAUCUUUCUAACUUUACUAGCUGUAGACAGGCAUUCGAUGUACUUGUAAACUGUAAUCCGUGUUAGAUUUUGUUUUUCCAUUUUUUUGGGUAUUACAUGGUGUAUUUAGUUUCCUAUCCAUGUCUGCAGCACCAAUAUGAUCUAUGGCCUCUUUUG